UCCCGGCGGCGGCGAGGGGUGAGGGGCGGCGGCACCCUGUCGAGUCGGGCUGAGCAGGAAGCCCGCGGCGGCCAGAAGAUCUUCAACAUCUCGCCAAGAACCCGAGGACUGGAUUGGCACCACGGCAGGGCCAAGUAAGGCGCGGUGGAGGGAUGCUUCAACGGCGUGUGGUGCUCGUCGGCGGCGACCACAUCCCUCAAUGGAACAGCAGCAGCAGAAAUUUGGAGAGGUCCAGCAGCGACGACCUCGACCUGCCUGGUAGUGGUGACAUGUGUGGUGAUCUGCAAGGUCCUCCGAUUGUAGCUCUUACCAGUGAUGAUUUGGACUCCCUAUCGACGGUGCCGUACCCAUCCAGCGGCGGCCCUUCUGGUGCUUUCGAACAAGCGGCCAACGGCAACCCAUUUGUGAAUGAGCUUCAGGCAGUUCGAUUCAGUACAGUAGCAACUGCUGUUAUUUGUUCAGUUUUCAAUUAAUUGUGUG